AGUUCAGCGUGCGCGCCGUCCGUGCAGCGCGGAGGAGCGCGCUCGGGGCGGUGGUGGCCGCACACUCUCCGCGGCCUGCCGGCGCGCCGCCCGCAGCAAGCAGCCUGCCCCGGCCCGCCGCUGCUUGAUUCGGCUUUAUAUUUAAUACAUGCCUUUUCAUCUAUAAUUCACGCUGCUCAGACUCCAGCCACGUCUCGGCUCCCAUUUACGCCUGCACACCUUUCUCCUUCCCCCUCCCGAAGGGUCAGCCGAGAUACUCGCUGAAGGGAGAGCUGUUUCGCUGGUUGUGUUUUUGUCUGCUUAAACAUCGAGCUGGAAAACACUUCUCUGUGGUCUGAUAAAUAAUAAAAGUGAUCAUUUCUCCUUCCCUGUAAAUGACACAGUUGAUAGCAUUGGCCAGCAAGAGAUCCAAGUUACUGCCUCGAAGAUUUUAGAAGAUUUUACAUUUUCAGAUGCAGGCUCCUGCCUUCAGAUUCCUAUAUGUAUACACACAUACGGCGCAGUGUUAGGCAAUGGUGGAAGCUCCUCAUAUCUGUUAGAGGAAUUAUUCCAGGCCAAAUUGCCUGUCCUGCCGUGAUCAUUCAGAGCGCUCCUGAUGUGGUUGUUCCUUGAACUGUCUGCUGAAAGACAAGAGGAUUGGAGUUCAGUGUGGCAGGUGUGUGUCUUUUGUCCUGACUUUAUACAUCUGAAUGGAUUUUUGGAGCUUGCUUCAGAGUUUCCUCCUCUUCCUGUGCAUAGGGAUUGGACAUAAAGUCUUUACUUAUACUGAGGAGCACUGUGAGACUGACUGCUCUUUGUGCUGAACUCAAGAGACAGCAAACGCAAUACUGGGAGCCCGAGACACCUCUUUUACACAUCACAACCAAAAACCAGACUACUGAAAAAUGAAUAGCAGGAAAGCCUACAGAAAAGUCCCAGCAACUCUCAACAUAGUAACAGAGUAUACUUCUCUCAAAGAAUGCUGAGGUUAAAGGUGAGGAUUACUUCUCAAAGCCUCUGUCCUAAGAGACUACUAAGAUAUUGAAUACAAGUGUUUUGUGUGAUGCUAUUCAAAAUAGGUGUGAGAGUUGAGCGUACUGGAAGCCCCUGGUGAGAUGAGCCAUUUAACAGCCUAUCCAGAGGAUUGAGAGUGCAGUCCUACUGCAACAGGACCUCUACUAUGGAGAGUGUGUUUGGGCAGGGAGUAGUGGAUCUUCAGAUGCUUAUAGAUGUAGGUGGCAGUCCAGGUGGGCUUCUUAACAAUACAGUAAAGCCACAGUGUUUGUGCUCAG